CUAAUUAUGCGGAAUGAAUAGAAACCAACCGGGAUUCCCUGAGUAAGGGCGACUGAAGGGGAUUAGCCCAGCGCAUAACCUCGCGGCCCUGUUGUGGCCGUCGAGGGGUGUUGCGUUUCGGUGGAUCCGUACCGCUCGAGCUGCUGACCGCCUAAGUCAUUGCUUGAAUGCAGCCCCGAGGAGGGUGGUAGGCCCGUGUGGCGGCGCCUGUAAAAAGGUUUGGAGGCAGCUUGAGCGGAGGGGUCUUUACCGUAGAGUCGGGUUGCUUAGUACUGCAGCCCUAAGUAGGUGGUAAACUCCAUCUAAGGCUAAAUACUACCACGAGUCCGAUAUUUGACAAGUACCGUGAGGGAAAGCUGAAAAGGACUCUGAAGAGAGAGUUCAAGAGGACGUGAAACCAUUAGAAGCUGAAACGGGUGGAACCGUGAAGGUGGAAAGAGGGGAUUCAGGCUGUGGGGGCGCGCGCUGGCCGCAGGUGGGCCUAAGAGAGAGGACCCGGCAUACCAGUGAGUUGCCCGGGCCCCUGCGUGCUUGGCGCGCGUGCCGGCGGCUUUACUUCUCCCUCGAGUACUGGUGGUGGCGACCCGCUGGCCGGACCCCGAGGGCUCCUGGGGACUGGUAGCCUGCACCCUGGGUGCAGGUGAGGACCCCGUGGAGUACUGACUGGGUUUGGCCGGCGGUCACUGCAAGGAGGCGGGCUGGCUCCUCUCGGGGGGCCGGGCCGCCUCUCGCCAUGUGAGAGGUAUCGGUAAUCCACCCGUCG
rnacentral:rRNA from 1 species